CACCUGAUCUUCUGAUGGCCUGUGAUAAAAUAUUCUGUGACCUUGCAAACAGCCUCAGAGAAAAAGAGGCUCUCUGACUGAACUCGCCCUCUAGGGGUGGAGAGCUGGAACGACAGCAGCUGUCACCACAGAAGAAGAAGACGAAGAAGAAGAAAAAGAAGAAGGCUCCACAAGUUUCCCCAGAACAGAUGUCAGGCGAGCAUCACACAGAUUGAUGUUUUUAAUAAAAAUGCAAUAAGGAGAAAGAAGAAGAAGAGGAGGAGGAGGAGGAGGAAGAAAGGACGCUCUUCUCAUGGAGGAGAAACCUGGAGGUCUGCUUGUGGAUCCUAUAAGCAAAGCACAGAGGGGAGAGGUUGCAUAGCAGAGCUUCAAUGGUUUCUUUGGCUGAGCCAUAAGGGAUCUAUAGCACCAGCAACCUGACUGGCAGGCAGAUGGGUAAGGAUGAAAUGCUAAAAUAUCAGAUAAGAAUCUGUCAAAAUUCAAAAAUGCGCUGGUCAAUAAUCUAUGUUCUACCCAAGCACCUGAACAAGCACUCUGAGUUUGAGAGACAGACAGACAGAGAAAGAACAAAGAGAGAGAUCAACCUAGUGCAAGAAAGUGAGGGAGGAGAUACUGCUACAAUAGAAAAACAGACAGACAGAGAUAGACAGAAUCAUGUUUUGAAAGCUACAGUAAGCAAAAGGACACUCAUUACUCUCUAAAAGGUUAUAAAUCUGAGAUAGGAGAAGGAGACACAAACAACGUGGUGAGGCUCAAAACUCUCCAAACCUAUCUCGAGCUCAGCUCCUCUCUCCUCCUCCACUGCUGAUGUAUUUACCCGCUUGACAAAUACAUGUGUCGGCUCAUCGAUGAAUUGAAAAAGAUGUGCGUAUGAAUAAUAAAUCUAUGGCAGCUGUACAUUUUUAAUUGAUUCUUCCCAAGUACAAACAGCAUGGAGAUUGUGAGGCUUCACAUGCUCCCUCCGGGAGCCGGUUUGAUUUUCUUUUAUCCACUAAUGUAUUUAUUACUAUUGAAGCUGGAAUGAAACAGGGAGGGAAAAGGGAUGUGAUGAAUAUUUGACAAGGAGAGUUUGUGACGUGCAAUAUGUCUGUGAGGUUUCAUCCUGCCGAGCUUGUUUCACUCGUUCUUUCAGGAGCUGUUCUGUGACCUCUGCCUGGUUAAAAAAUUUGAUUUGCAUUUAUAAUUUAUGACGACUGGUCACCUGAGAUGCUCAAAAAUCCUUUAAAUUAAAGUCGUGAAGGUUGGAUAAAUAAUUAAGUUUUAUGAUGUGACAGUGCUAUGGUUAUUGUUUGGUUAGGUUUAGGUACACAAACAACUUGGUUAGAUUUAAAGACGAUAGUGGUUUGGAUUAAAAUUAGUUUAAGGAUAUGAAAGGCCAUUGUUAAAAUAAUAAAAGCUGCAUGUAAGGUUAUGAAAUAACUGUGGUCAUGUUUUAAAGUUGACUAUCAGUUGACCCAUUGGGACAACACAGGCUUUAAUCACCUGACUUUCUCUGUGUUCCUGUCAUAAAACUGAUUUGAACUAGA